GUUGAUUUGUUUGUUUAAUAACCAUCUAGAAGAUCCAUACAAAUUGGGUCAUAACUUGGGCCAAUUAUUUUAUUGUUUGGGCUCUCCAAUUAAAUUGCUUGGGCUAUGUAAAAGAAUAGCAUGAUCCAAUAGAUAAAUUUUAUUAUAUCCUAAUCAUUUAAUUAGGAUUUUCAUUUCCUCAAUUAUAACACAAAUCCUUGCUCAUGCACACUUAUUUCCUUAACCCAAUUAGACUUGCUAUAAUUAGGUUAUAAAAUUAAUCAUUUGAGAUAUAUAUAAAAUAAAUCUCCUAGAAUUAGUAAGUAUUCUAAAUACCACAAUUCUCUUUUUCCAUAACCCUUAAGUUAUUAAAUCCUUCAUUCCUAAUAUAUAAUUAGGUUUACACUAAUUUCUUUUGUUUGUUUAUAUAAUAAAUAAAUAUAAACCAUCACAUAAUGUUCAUAUUCCUUACACACAAC
rnacentral:lncRNA from 1 species